rnacentral:rRNA from 1 species
CCUACGGGGGGCUGCAGUAAGGAAUAUUGGUCAAUGGAGGAAACUCUGAACCAGCCAUCCCGCGUGAAGGAUGAAGGGGCUCUGCCUUGUAAACUUCUUUUGUCUGGGGCGAAAAAGCUCGAUUUAUCGAGAACUGACGGUACCAGAAGAAUAAGCACCGGCUAACUCCGUGCCAGCAGCCGCGGUAAUACGGAGGGUGGCGGCGUUAUCCGGUAUAAAUGGGUUUAAGGCGUGCGUGUAAGUCAGAGUAGAAAGGCUGUGGCUUAACCAUGGAAUUGCCAUUGAUACUGCAGAGCUUGAAUGAGGUUGAGGUUGGCGGAAUGUGACAUGUAGCGGUGAAAUGCUUAGAUAUGUCAUGGAACACCGAUUGCGAAGGCAGCUGACUGGACCUAUAUUGACGCUGAGGCACGAAAGCGUGGGGAGCGAACAGGAUUAGAUACCCCAGUAGUC